rnacentral:ncRNA from 1 species
UUGACAAGUAAUUUAUUAGUUGAACCCUGUGAAGAGGAUUACGUCUUGCAGGGAUGGCAUCUUGAUGAAAUAGCAAUAAGGCUGGGAUACUGGUCGUACGUAAAAAACUCUGGUAGGUAACAUCAGAGUUCUCUCGUAAGCUACGAUUUACGAGCGGAGAUGUCAGUGCAACAUAUUAUCGGUGUUUAAACAAGCUUACAGCUCGUCCCACAAGAAGCUCUGUAGAAAUACAUCUCACCAUUAGUUACAAGCCUGAGAAACUUGAUAGCUGGGUUCUCAAAGUAAGGAAGUGUCUUGAAGUAACGUAAGUUAUGUAUAAGAGUUAGUAAGUGUGCAAGUAGCCGUAUGACACAGCUCAAAUAUGAUACGUUGUGCAUGAGUUAUGAGUAAUAGUAACUGAUGAACCUUAAAAAAUUCUGAAGUUCGGUGAAAGUUGCAGAAUACAAAUACAAUCUAUUUGAUUCUAGCCAUUGUUCGGGUUUUACCCCAUUGAGGAAGCCUAAAGGUAGCUCCUUUUCGCUCAGACCUCCGUGAAUGUGUGUGAAUAAAACAUGAUAAAAGUGUUGUAAGAUGAAGAAAAGUCUCAAUGUUAAAUUACUUAUC